rnacentral:rRNA from 1 species
UACGUAGGGUGCAAGCGUUGUCCGGAAUUAUUGGGCGUAAAGAGCUCGUAGGCGGUUCGUCGCGUCGGCUGUGAAAACCCGGAGCUCAACUCCGGGCCUGCAGUCGAUACGGGCGGACUAGAGUUCGGCAGGGGAGACUGGAAUUCCUGGUGUAGCGGUGAAAUGCGCAGAUAUCAGGAGGAACACCGGUGGCGAAGGCGGGUCUCUGGGCCGAUACUGACGCUGAGGAGCGAAAGCGUGGGGAGCAAACGGG